rnacentral:RNase_P_RNA from 2 species
GCCAGACCGAAGACCGCGGCUCGUCGUUCAUACUUUCAGGUCCCACACAUGCUGUGGUCGUCCUUGUAUCACCUACUUUGCGACUGGGUUAAGGUCCGAGUCUUUCAAUCCCCUCAGGAGCUUCUCUCCUGGCCUGUCCAUCGGUCGGACUCUAUAAACUCUCAAGGGGUUUGCUCUUGUAAACACUCGAGCAGGGCCCAUCAUCAGAAAUCGCUCUCGUCUCUUACUGGACAGCCGAACGAAUCCGGUCGAGACGGCUCAUUCUGGGAUCGUCUCGCAUCUUUCAUAUCUGACUAGUAGUUAACACAGAUCGGGCCGAAGACAUCGAGUCACCUCGACGAGGACCUUUCGCGUCUACGAGUCUCAGAUUAAUAUUUUUGCAGGCAUCCUGGAUGAGCUACCAGCUCUGACUACGAUUCUUCAGUUUUCUCUAGGGGACGAGAUUGGGAACGGUGGGUGGGGGUAGCGCUGGCUGUCUGUUGCCCCUUGGGCCUGGCAGUUGUCGAUUUAGUGCAAUCCGCGGUGAGCGAGUCCUCGAAGGUCUUCUUCUUCGCUCGCUCAACUCAAUUCGGACUACUCUUGGCCUGGC